GAUGAACGCUGGCGGCGUGCCUAAUACAUGCAAGUCGAGCGAACGGACGAGAAGCUUGCUUCUCUGAUGUUAGCGGCGGACGGGUGAGUAACACGUGGAUAACCUACCUAUAAGACUGGGAUAACUUCGGGAAACCGGAGCUAAUACCGGAUAAUAUUUUGAACCGCAUGGUUCAAAAGUGAAAGACGGUCUUGCUGUCACUUAUAGAUGGAUCCGCGCUGCAUUAGCUAGUUGGGAAGGGAACGGCUUACCAAGGCAACGAUGCAUAGCCGACCUGAAAGGGUGAUCCGCCACACUGGAACUGAGACACGGUCCCAACUCCUACGGGAGGCAGCCGUAGGGAAUCUUCCCCAAUGGGCGAAAGCCUGACCGAACCACCCCGCGUGAGUGAAGAAAGUCUUCCGAUCGGAAAACUCUGGUAUUUGGGAAAAAAAUAUGUGGUAGUAACUGUGCACAUCUUGGCCGGGCCUAAUCAAAAAGCCCCUGGUAAAUACGUGGCCGCCACCGCGGUAAUAAAUUGGGGGGGAACGCUUUUCCGAAAUAUUUGGGCGAAAACGCGCGUAGCGGUUUUUUAGUCUGAUGUGAAAGCCCACGGCUCAACCGUGGAGGGUCAUUGGAAACUGGAAAACUUGAGUGCAGAAGAGGAAAGUGGAAUUCCAUGUGUAGCGGUGAAAUGCGCAGAGAUAUGGAGGAACACCAGUGGCGAAGGCGACUUUCUGGUCUGUAACUGACGCUGAUGUGCGAAAGCGUGGGGAUCAAACAGGAUUAGAUACCCUGGUAGUCCACGCCGUAAACGAUGAGUGCUAAGUGUUAGGGGGUUUCCGCCCCUUAGUGCUGCAGCUAACGCAUUAAGCACUCCGCCUGGGGAGUACGACCGCAAGGUUGAAACUCAAAGGAAUUGACGGGGACCCGCACAAGCGGUGGAGCAUGUGGUUUAAUUCGAAGCAACGCGAAGAACCUUACCAAAUCUUGACAUCCUUUGACAACUCUAGAGAUAGAGCUUUCCCCUUCGGGGGACAAAGUGACAGGUGGUGCAUGGUUGCCGUCAGCUCGUGUCGUGAGAUGUUGGGUUAAGUCCCGCAACGAGCGCAACCCUUAAGCUUAGUUGCCAUCAUUAAGUUGGGCACUCUAAGUUGACUGCCGGUGACAAACCGGAGGAAGGUGGGGAUGACGUCAAAUCAUCAUGCCCCUUAUGAUUUGGGCUACACACGUGCUACAAUGGACAAUACAAAGGGCAGCGAAACCGUGAGGUCAAGCAAAUCCCAUAAAGUUGUUCUCAGUUCGGAUUGUAGUCUGCAACUCGACUACAUGAAGCUGGAAUCGCUAGUAAUCGUAGAUCAGCAUGCUACGGUGAAUACGUUCCCGGGUCU
rnacentral:rRNA from 1 species